GUGCCAGCCGCCGCGGUAAUACGUAGGUGGCAAGCGUUGUCCGGAAUUAUAGGGCGUAAAGCGCGCGCAGGUGGUUUCUUAAGUCUGAUGUGAAAGCCCACGGCUCAACCGUGGAGGGUCAUUGGAAACUGGGGAACUUGAGUGCAGAAGAGGAAAGUGGAAUUCCAAGUGUAGCGGUGAAAUGCGUAGAUAUUUGGAGGAACACCAGUGGCGAAGGCGACUUUCUGGUCUGUAACUGACACUGAGGCGCGAAAGCGUGGGGAGCAAACAGGAUUAGAUACCCCGGUAGUCCC
rnacentral:rRNA from 1 species